rnacentral:rRNA from 1 species
UAGGGAAUCUUCGGCAAUGGGGGGAACCCUGACCGAGCAACGCCGCGUGAGUGAAGAAGGUUUUCGGAUCGUAAAGCUCUGUUGUUAAGGAAGAACGAGUGUGAGAAUGGAAAGUUCAUACUGUGACGGUACUUAACCAGAAAGGGACGGCUAACUACGUGCCAGCAGCCGCGGUAAUACGUAGGUCCCGAGCGUUGCCCGGAAUUAUUGGGCGUAAAGCGAGCGGAGGCGGUUGGAUAAGUCUGAAGUUAAAGGCAGUGGCUCAACCAGGGUAGGCUUUGGAAAGUGUUGAGCUUUAGUGCAGAAGGGGAGAGUGGAAUUCAGUGUGUAGCGGUGAAAUGCGUAGAUAUAUGAAGGAACACCGGUGGCGAGAGCGGCUCUCUGGUCUGUGACAGACGCUGAGGCUCGAAAGCGUGGGGAGCGAACAGG